rnacentral:rRNA from 1 species
CCUACGGGGGGCAGCAGUGAGGAAUAUUGGUCAAUGGACGAGAGUCUGAACCAGCCAAGUAGCGUGAAGGAUGACUGCCCUAUGGGUUGUAAACUUCUUUUAUAUGGGAAUAAAAUGUUCCACGUGUGGGAUUUUGUAUGUACCAUAUGAAUAAGGAUCGGCUAACUCCGUGCCAGCAGCCGCGGUAAUACGGAGGAUCCGAGCGUUAUCCGGAUUUAUUGGGUUUAAAGGGAGCGUAGGUGGAUUGUUAAGUCAGUUGUGAAAGUUUGCGGCUCAACCGUAAAAUUGCAGUUGAAACUGGCAGUCUUGAGUACAGUAGAGGUGGGCGGAAUUCGUGGUGUAGCGGUGAAAUGCUUAGAUAUGACGAAGAACCCCGAUUGCGAAGGCAGCUCGCUGGACUGCAACUGACACUGAGGCUCGAAAGUGUGGGUAUCAAACAGGAUUAGAUACCCGAGUAGUC